rnacentral:lncRNA from 1 species
AGUUCCAGGCAAGCUUGGACUACACGGUGAGACAUUGCCCGCCCCCCAAAUAUGACUAAUCAGAUGUGGUAGAUGGAAGAUGGGGGUGCAGAGUGAAAGCUGCCAGGAGGUAAUGGAGGAGUGUGACUCUGAACCAAGACCUAGCAUCCAAGUAGAGGAAUGAGCUGGGAAGAGAUUGCCAAAUUCAGUCUGGAAGACUCGACUAAAUACAUGUGGACUUAGAAACUGGUGAGGCCCUCUGGGAUUACAGGCCCCUGCACUGCUCCACCCGGCUCUUCGUGGGUUCUGAGGACCAGAGCGCAGUGUCAGAAUUGCAUAGCAAAUGCAUUACUCACAGUGCUACUUCUUCAGCCCUCCCUACUUGUGAACAUCUCUGUUCUGCCAAGUACUCC